UGCGUUNUGAACUGGGUAGCUAGAGUAUNUCAGAGGGGGGUAGAAUUCCACGUGUAGCAGUGAAAUGCGUAGAGAUGUGGAGGAAUACCGAUGGCGAAGGCAGCCCCCUGGGAUAAUACUGACGUUCAUGCUCGAAAGCGUGGGUAGCAANCAGGAUUAGAUACCCUGGUAGUCCACGCCCUAAACGAUGUCGAUUAGCUGUUGGGCAACUUGAUUGCUUAGUAGCGUAGCUAACGCGUGAAAUCGACCGCCUGGGGAGUACGGUCGCAAGAUUAAAACUCAAAGGAAUUGACGGGGACCCGCACAAGCGGUGGAUGAUGUGGAUUAAUUCGAUGCAACGCGAAGAACCUUACCUGGUCUUGACAUGUACGGAAGAACUCAGAGACGAGUUUGUGCCUUCGGGAGCCGUAACACAGGUGCUGCAUGGCUGUCGUCAGCUCGUGUCGUGAGAUGUUGGGUUAAGUCCCGCAACGAGCGCAACCCUUGUCAUUAGUUGCCAUCAUUUAGUUGGGCACUCUAAUGAGACUGCCGGUGACAAACCGGAGGAAGGUGGGGAUGACGUCAAGUCCUCAUGGCCCUUAUGACCAGGGCUUCACACGUCAUACAAUGGUCGGUACAGAGGGUAGCCAAGCCGCGAGGUGGAGCUAAUCCCAGAAAACCGAUCGUAGUCCGGAUUGCACUCUGCAACUCGAGUGCAUGAAGUCGGAAUCGCUAGUAAUCACAGGUCAGCAUACUGCGGUGAAUACGUUCCCGGGUCUUGUACAC
rnacentral:rRNA from 1 species